ACUACGGGAGGCAGCAGUGGGGAAUAUUGGGCAAUGGAGGAAACUCUGACCCAGCAACGCCGCGUGAAUGAUGAAGGUCUUCGGAUUGUAAAGUUCUUUUCUAAGGGAAGAAGAAAGUGACGGUACCUUAGGAAUAAGCCUCGGCUAACUACGUGCCAGCAGCCGCGGUAAUACGUAGGAGGCAAGCGUUAUCCGGAAUGACUGGGCGUAAAGGGUGCGUAGGUGGUGUGACAAGUUGGUAGCGUAACUCCGGGGCUUAACCUCGGCACUACUACCAAAACUGUUGGACUCGAGUGCAGGAGGGGCAAAUGGAAUUCCUAGUGUAGCGGUGGAAUGCGUAGAUAUUAGGAGGAACACCAGUGGCGAAGGCGAUUUGCUGGACUGUAACUGACACUGAGGCACGAAAGCGUGGGGAGCAAACAGGAUUAGAUACCCCUGUAGUC
rnacentral:rRNA from 1 species